UCGCUUUGCAGUAUCUUUAGCGCACGUGCCUUCUAAGCAUGUGGUCGCAGGUUCGAAUCCUGCAGGGCGUGCCA
rnacentral:tRNA from 1 species